rnacentral:lncRNA from 1 species
AACCAGGAAAGUGCUUUACAGUACUUAAGAUUUUUUAUUUUGAAAAGUACAAAUUGGGAGGAUCAGCCAAACAAAGAGAUGAAUAGGACAAGAUCUGGGAAGGAAUGCAGAUCUGUGUCCUAUCCUCAUGGUUCAGUGCAUACCACCAUCUUGGUACAUCAAUGUGUUCACCAACCACAAAGUGCUAUUGUCAAGAGUUUCUAUUGGAGUUUCACUUCAUAAGCACUACUGACUAUUGGACAAGGCUUGAACUCUGUCUUGACUCCCACUGCCUUCCUCAGAGGUUGGAAGGUUGGACUGAUACUACCUGUCUCACAGCCUCAACCCUCUAGUCAUAUGAUUGAUCUUUUUCCAUGACCAACUCCAUUUUAAAGUUUUUCUAGGGCCUUGCAUGAAGUGCCUAUUAGCAUAAUAAAGAUACUAAAUAAUGCCCUAAAUUCCAAGGAUUUAUAUUUUUUUCUCCCCAGAACCUGGAAAAAAGUUCAGAGAAAUUUUGCUUUGGAACAGAGUCAAUCACACGUGUCUCUACCCUCAGUGAUGUGCUUGAGCUAGAAUGAAAUCUAGUAAGAUUUCAACCAUAAAGUUGCACAAGAGCUGAUCCCAGAAGUCAGAGAAGGUGGAGAGACAGUUCCAUGAGUUCCAUAACAUCAAUAUGGAGCUGGCAGAUGCCCCAGCCCAACAAGAUGAAACAAUAGAGUGUGCACACUGUGCAGCUUGUGAUGGUGUCAUGACAGAAUGGGACCUGGCUUCCUGGACAGGACAGUCCCUUCAGAAAGCAAUGAAUGCUGUUUCAUUUUGACCUUCAGAUAAUGGGAAAACCUGUCUUGUGAUCAACCUUAACGUGCAACCAUAAAGGGAAGGGAACUCUGGGAAUUGACAUUCCGGGUUAUAUAAAUUGACACAUUUCUCCAUUGACUAGAGAGUGUUGAGUACAUUUCUAUGUUUGAAUAUGGUUCAGUGGCCCCCACCCCAAGGGCUCACAUUUUGAAAUUUAAUCACAUUGCUUAAGAGAGUGGAAAGUUCAAUUCUGGUAUUAAAGGUGAGGAUUUGGGAAAGUAAGUAACUAGGAUGAAAAUCAUUAGGCUGGAGCCUGUGAUUGAAUCCUGGUAGGUUCAGAAGAACAUGACCAGAGCAGGCACACAUGUGCAUACACUCCCCAUCUCUUGCUACAUGAUGUUCUAUGCAGCCUCAGGACUCUGCCAGCAAGGUCAUAACUAGACACAGCUUGCCAAUCUUGCAUCUCCAGAACUGUGAGCCAAAAUAAAUAUUUUGUUAUAACUCACCCGGUCUAUGGUGUUGUGUUACUGACAAUAGAAAAUGGACUCUUUCUGUCUUUCUCUCUCUCUCUUUUUGCUGUUAAGAAUAAUGCAGCAAUAAUAUUGAUGACAUAAUGAACUUAUAAAAUAGUCUCAUAAGUGGA